rnacentral:rRNA from 1 species
CUUUCUCCAAGGAAAGAAAGAUUCUGACCGGUACCUUGAGGAUAAGCCACGGCUAAUUCCCGUGCCAGCAGCCGCGGUAUACGGGAGUGGCAAGCGUAUCCGGAAUUAUUAGGCGUAAGCGUCCGCAGGCGGCCCUUCCAAGUCUGCUGUUAAAACGUGGAGCUUAACUCCAUCAUGGCAGUGGAAACUGUUGGGCUUGAGUGUGGUAGGGGCAGAGGGAAUUCCCGGUGUAGCGGUGAAAUGCGUAGAUAUCGGGAAGAACACCAGUGGCGAAGGCGCUCUGCUGGGCCCAUAACUGACGCUCAUGGACGAAAGCCAGGGGAGCGAAAGGGAUUAGAUACCCCUGUAGUCCUGGCCGUAAACGAUGAACACUAGGUGUCGGGGGAAUCGACCCCCUCGGUGUCGUAGCCAACGCGUUAAGUGUUCCGCCUGGGGAGUACGCACGCAAGUGUGAAACUCAAAGGAAUUGACGGGGGCCCGCACAAGCGGUGGAGUAUGUGGUUUAAUUCGAUGCAACGCGAAGAACCUUACCAGGGUUUGACAUCCUGCGAAUCUCUUGGAAACGAGAGAGUGCCUUCGGGAACGCAGUGACAGGUGGUGCAUGGCUGUCGUCAGCUCGUGUCGUGAGAUGUUGGGUUAAGUCCCGCAACGAGCGCAACCCACGUCUUUAGUUGCCAGCAUUUAGUUGGGCACUCUAGAGAGACCGCCGGUGAUAAACCGGAGGAAGGUGUGGAUGACGUCAAGUCAUCAUGCCCCUUACAUCCUGGGCUACACACGUACUACAAUGCUACGGACAAAGGGCAGCAAGUUCGCGAGGACAAGCAAAUCCCAUAAACCGUGGCUCAGUUCAGAUCGUAGGCUGCAACUCGCCUACGUGAAGGAGGAAUCGCUAGUAAUCGCAGGUCAGCAUACUGCGGUGAAUACGUUCCCGGGCCUUGUACACACCGCCCGUCACACCAUGGAAGUUGGCCACGCCCGAAGCCGUUACUCCAACCC